UGGGGAAUAUUGGACAAUGGGGGAAACCCUGAUCCAGCAAUGCCGCGUGGGUGAUGAAGGCCUUCGGGUUGUAAAGCCCUUUUGGCGGGGACGAUGAUGACGGUACCCGCCGAAUAAGCCCCGGCUAACUUCGUGCCAGCAGCCGCGGUAAUACGAAGGGGGCUAGCGUUGUUCGGAAUUACUGGGCGUAAAGGGCGCGUAGGCGGCUUCGAUAGUCGGAUGUGAAAUGCCUGGGCUCAACCCGGGAACUGCAUUCGAAACUCCGGAGCUAGAGUGUGGGAGAGGUUGGUGGAAUUCCCAGUGUAGAGGUGAAAUUCGUAGAUAUUGGGAAGAACACCGGUGGCGAAGGCGGCCAACUGGACCACAACUGACGCUGAGGCGCGAAAGCGUGGGGAGCAAACAGGAUUAGAUACUCUGGUAGUCCACGCCGUAAACUAUGGAUGCUAGCCGUCGGGGAGCUUGCUCUUCGGUGGCGCAGCUAACGUCUUAAGCAUCCCGCC
rnacentral:rRNA from 1 species